rnacentral:lncRNA from 1 species
ACAAUUUGGCAAUUUUUUUUCAUUAGAAAUAGUGGUUAGCAAAUGCACCUCCUUGCAAAAGAGCAAGUACAAAGGCUGGUGUGACACAAUUGCUUUUUUCACAUCUCUUUUUUUUGCAAUUAAACUUUGUUUCUUUUCUCUUUUAUCAUUCUUUUUCUUUUCAUUCUUUUCUUUUUCUUUUUCUUUUUCUUUUUCUUUUUCUUUUUCUUUUUCUUUUUCUUUUCUUUCUUGAUCAUAUUUUUC